GAUGAACGCUGGCGGCGUGCCUAAUACAUGCAAGUCGAGCGAACGGACGAGAAGCUUGCUUCUCUGAUGUUAGCGGCGGACGGGUGAGUAACACAUGGAUAACCUACUUAUAAGACGGGGAUAACUUCGGGAAACCGUAGCUAAUACCCGUUAAUAUUUUGAACCGCAUGGUUCAACCGUGAAAGACGAUCUUGCUGUCACUUAUAGAUGGAUCCGCGCUGCAUUAGCUAGUUGGUAAGGUAACGGCUUACCAAGGCAACGAUGCGUAGCCGGCCUGAGAGGGUGAUCGGCCACACUGGAACUGAGACACGGUCCAGACUCCUACGGGAGGCAGCAGUAGGGAAUCUUCGGCAAUGGGCGAAAGCCUGACGGAGCAACGCCGCGUGAGUGAUGAAGGUCUUCGGGUCGUAAAACGCUGUUAUAAGGGAAGAACAGAUGUGUAAGAAUAUGUAGAGAUCAUGACGGUACCUAAUGAGAAAGCCCCGGCUAACUACGUG
rnacentral:rRNA from 1 species